rnacentral:tRNA from 1 species
GCGGAAGUGGCGGAAUUGGUAGACGCACUGGAUUUAGGUUCCAGCGCCGCAAGGCGUGGGGGUUCGAGUCCCCCCUCCCGCACCA